rnacentral:rRNA from 1 species
GUUAUAUGGCCAAGCGACUAAGCGUACAGGGUGGAUGCCUUGGCAACUGGAGGCGAUGAAAGACGUGGUAGCCUGCGAAAAGCUUCGGGGAGGUGGCAAACGACCUGUGAUCCGGAGAUGUCUGAAUGGGGAAACCCACCUGCUUUUAGCAGGUAUCUUGCACU